rnacentral:rRNA from 1 species
GACGAACGCUGGCGGCGUGCCUAACACAUGCAAGUCAACUUGACUGAAGGAGCAAUCUGACAGUAGAGUGGCGCAAGGGUGCGUAACGCGUAAGUAACUUGCCCCAAGGUAAGGAAUAACGUCGAGAAAUCGGCGCUAAUACCCCACAAUGCAGCGGAUCCGCAUGGAUAUGUUGUUAAAGGUUUACCGCCUUGGGAUAGGCUUGCGUCUGAUUAGCUAGUUGGUGUGGUAACCGGCACACCAAGGCUACGAUCAGUAACUGGUCUGAGAGGAUGAUCAGUCACACUGGAACUGAGACACGGUCCAGACUCCUACGGGAGCAGCAGUGAGGAAUAUUGGGCAAUGCUCGAAAGAGUGACCCAGCAACGCCGCGUGGAGGAUGAAGGUAUUCUAUAUCGUAAACUCCUGUGAGAGCAGACGAAAGACAGAUUAUUAAUCUGGAUGACUGUAUGCUCAGAGGAAG